GUUCCUGUCGCGUGUAUGUGGUUCUUGUCUGGCUAGAGCCAUCCACCGAAAUCUAUGGGUAUCUUGCAUGCUCUCGGUCUGUCUGCUUCUCUGCUCAGUGCAGGGCGCCCGGCCUGUAGGCUGUGCAGCCCUCCUGGAGACCAAUGGAAGCAUCUUGGGUCAACAGAUUACACCUUCUGCAGCAGCUCGGCCCCCCUACUCUCUUCAACUCCAUGGUGGGCGUCCCAUGUCCAGGGAGAGGAUGCCUGCGUAAGUGCUGCAACUCUGGAGCAACGUGAAGCACAGAUGCCUCUAAAUUUCCUUCAGGUAACUGGGUGCUAUUCAGGUGGCUCACUGGGCUUGUUCGCAGAAAUAACAGCUUGGGUGCACAAUGGCCAUAAGACGUGCCUCCGUCCUGCCAGACUGAUGGACCGUGGUGCUCCUGAGUGAUGAUUGUCCCCUGGCAUCCGGACCUCUGUCCCACAAGGAUAUGUGCAUUUGGCAGUGUGUGAAGGUCUGUGCCCAGAGUGCCGUGGCCCUGGUGUGCUCUUGAGCAGCCCACACAGCAGAGCAUCAGGCUUGUCUCCAAAGCUCCAGUCUCUCCCCCAGGAUUAUCAGCUGAUCUUUGCUGUGUCUUCUAGUAGUCCUCGUGUUUCAAGAAGCAGCUGGAACAGAGUCCUUGCCAGAUGUGGACACCAGAGGGCCAGGGAGUAGACAGCAAGACUACCACUCGAAGUGGACUAGAGACUGCAUAUUCAGAGCAUCAUGAAACAUCUUUUUAUUAGUUCAGUAAUUGGCUCAGGCAUGGGAGACUCCAGCAUACAAGGUCUUAAAACCAACACCUCAGAGGACUGUCCUGUCCCCAUGUCCAUCUGCUAGUGCCUGGAAGGACUAGUGACGAGCUUUUCUGUUGAACUUGUUGCCAGCUUUCCUGCUACCUCCCUAACUGCAAUAAAUAAACCUGAUGAAUUCA